rnacentral:rRNA from 1 species
UACAGAGGGUGCGAGCGUUAAUCGGAAUUACUGGGCGUAAAGCGCACGUAGGCGGCUUCUUAAGUCAGGGGUGAAAUCCUGGAGCUCAACUCCAGAACUGCCUUUGAUACUGAGGAGCUUGAGUCCGGGAGAGGUGAGUGGAACUGCGAGUGUAGAGGUGAAAUUCGUAGAUAUUCGCAAGAACACCAGUGGCGAAGGCGGCUCACUGGCCCGGUACUGACGCUGAGGUGCGAAAGCGUGGGGAGCAAACCGG